rnacentral:rRNA from 1 species
UACGUAGGGGGCAAGCGUUGUCCGGAAUCAUUGGGCGUAAAGCGCGUGUAGGCGGCUUGGUAAGUCCGCUCUGAAAGCCCGGGGCUCAACCCCGGGAGGCGGGUGGAUACUGUCAAGCUCGAGUCCGGAAGAGGCGAGUGGAAUUCCUGGUGUAGCGGUGGAAUGCGCAGAUAUCAGGAGGAACACCAAUGGCGAAGGCAGCUCGCUGGGACGUGACUGACGCUGAGACGCGAAAGCGUGGGGAGCAAACAGG